rnacentral:rRNA from 1 species
UCGUAACAAGGUUUCCGUAGGUGACCGUGGGAAAGGAUCAUUG